rnacentral:misc_RNA from 1 species
GUGAAGAACGUAGCGAAAUGCGAUAAGUAGUGUGAAUUGCAGAAUUCAGUGAAUCAUCGAAUCUUUGAACGCACAUUGCGCCCUUUGGUAUUCCUUAGGGCAUGCCUGUUCGAGCGUCAUUUAAACCUUCAAGCUAAGCUUGGUGUUGGGUGACUGUCCGCUUCACUGCGGACUCGCCUCAAAAUUAUUGGCGGCCGGUACAUUGGCUUCGAGCGCAGCAGAAACGCGAACUCGGGCCCGUCGUAUUGGCUCCCAGAAGCUAUCUUCACAAUUUUGACCUCGGAUCAGGUAGGGAUACCCGCUGAACUUAAGCAUAUCAAUAAGCGGAGGA